UUCGCAAUGCCCGAAAGGGUGACUAUGCGACGCCGCGUGUGCGAUGAAGGUCUUCGGAUUGUAAAGCACUGUCAGUCGGGAGGAAUCUCUGGAGGAUUAAUAAUCCUGCAGGGUGACAGUACCGUCAGAGGAAGCCACGGCUAACUCCGUGCCAGCAGCCGCGGUAAUACGGAGGUGGCAGGCGUUACUCGGAUUGAUUGGGUGUAAAGGGCGUGUAGGCGGUGGAUUAAGUCGGAUGUGAAAUCCCUUGGCUCAACCAAGGAACUGCAUCCGAAACUAUUCUACUUGAGCGACAGAGAGGAAAGCGGAAUUCCCGGUGUAACAGUGAAACGUGUAGAUAUCGGGAGGAACACCAGUGGCGAAGGCGGCUUUCUGGCUGUCUGCUGACGCUGAAAGCGCGAGAGCUAGGGGAGCAAACAGGAUUAGAUACCCCGGUAGUCCUGGCCCUAAACGAUGGGCACUAAGUAGAGGGGUUUU
rnacentral:rRNA from 1 species